rnacentral:rRNA from 1 species
GACGAACGCUGGCGGCGUGCUUAACACAUGCAAGUCGAACGGAAAGGCCCUGCUUGCAGGGUACUCGAGUGGCGAACGGGCGAGUAACACGUGGGAGAUCUGCCCUGCACUUCGGGAUAAGCCUGGGAAACUGGGUCUAAUACCGGAUAGGAGCCAUUUUUAGUGUGAUGGUUGGAAAGUUUUUUCGGUGUAGGAUGAGCUCGCGGCCUAUCAGCUUGUUGGUGGGGUAAUGGCCUACCAAGGCGGCGACGGGUAGCCGGCCUGAGAGGGUGGACGGCCACAUUGGGACUGAGAUACGGCCCAGACUCCUACGGGAGGCAGCAGUGGGGAAUAUUGCACAAUGGGCGCAAGCCUGAUGCAGCGACGCCGCGUGGGGGAGGACGGCCUUCGGGUUGUAAACUCCUUUCGCUAGGGACGAAGCUUUUUGUGACGGUACCUAGAUAAGAAGCACCGGCUAACUACGUG